AGUCUUAGAAUAGUCCCAGUCUGGCUACAACCUUCAACCCAAGACCCGGAUUCUUCAGCACCGAGCGCCACGCCCUGCAGGAUGUUCUCUGCGGCCUCCCAGCCUUUGGACCCCGAUGGGACCUUGUUCCGGCUUCGCUUCACAGCCAUGGUCUGGUGGGUCAUCACUUUCCCUGUGUUCGGCUUCUUCUUCUGCAUCAUCUGGUCCCUGGUGUUCCACUUUGAGUACACGGUGGCCACUGACUGUGGGGUGCCCAAUUACCUGCCCUCGGUGAGCUCAGCCAUCGGCGGGGAGGUGCCCCAGCGCUACGUGUGGCGUUUCUGCAUCGGCCUGCACUCGGCGCCUCGCUUCUUGGUGGCCUUCGCCUACUGGAACCACUACCUCAGCUGCACCUCCCCGUGUUCCUGCUAUCGCCCGCUCUGCCGCCUCAACUUCGGCCUCAAUGUCGUGGAGAACCUCGCGUUGCUAGUGCUCACUUAUGUCUCCUCCUCCGAGGACUUCAGUGGGUGCCUGGAUGAGGGAGGAGUGGGGAAGUGUUC
rnacentral:sRNA from 1 species